rnacentral:rRNA from 1 species
UACGUAGGGUGCGAGCGUUAAUCGGAAUUACUGGGCGUAAAGCGUGCGCAGGCGGUUUGUUAAGACAGAUGUGAAAUCCCCGGGCUUAACCUGGGAACUGCAUUUGUGACUGGCAAGCUAGAGUAUGGCAGAGGGGGGGUAGAAUUCCACGUGUAGCAGUGAAAUGCGUAGAGAUGUGGAGGAAUACCGAUGGCGAAGGCAGCCCCCUGGGCCCAACACUGACGCUCAUGCACGAAAGCGUGGGGAGCAAACAGG